UAGGGAAUAUUGCAAAAUGGGCGAAAGCCCGGUGCAGCAACGCCGUGUGGGCGAUGAAGGCCUUCGGGUCGUAAAGCCCUUUUUGAGGGGAUGAGGAAGGACAGUACCCUCAGAAUAAGCCUCGGCUAACUACGUGCCAGCAGCCGCGGUAAAACGUAGGAGGCGAGCGUUAUCCGGAUUUACUGGGCGUAAAGCGCGUGCAGGCGGAUUGGAGAGUUGGAUGUGAAAGCUCCCGGCUUAACUGGGAGAGGUCGUUCAAUACUUCCAGUCUUGAGUGCAGUAGAGGGAAGUGGAAUUCCGGGUGUAGUGGUGAAAUGCGUAGAUACCCGGAGGAACACCAGUGGCGAAAGCGGCUUCCUGGACUGUAACUGACGCUCAGACGCGAAAGCUAGGGUAGCAAACG
rnacentral:rRNA from 1 species